GGUGGAUCUGGGCCGUUACAUACUGCCUACGGGAAGCUACGGAAAGGCUGUGUACUGUAUGAUUGGAUACUUCAGCCGGCCUUGGAAUGCGUGCUAGCCAUGACAGGUUGGUCCUCUGCAGCAGGAAAUGGACAACUCUCUUAAAAUUCAUGCCUAUAUUUGUUCCACAAGUUGAAUGCUACAGAUUUGCUCUUAAAAUUUACAUUAUCAAAGGACAGCCCGUGUGAGAUUUUGGAGUAUUUGAUGUCUUUCAACCAUACAAAUGUCUCAUAUCUGAUUCCUGCUGUAUCUUUCAAGUAAGGGGUCUCGUUUUUAGCGUCGUAUUUGAACUAUUUGAACUAUAUUUGACCCUUUUGUAAACUAAAAUAUUAAUGUCGAUCAGUACGUUCGGAGAAAA